UCCCUAGCAUUUUUUCCUCUCCCCACCUUCAGUUAAAAAAAAAACCUAUCUAAAGCUCAGCUCCGAUUCUCUCUCUUCCUCUCUUAUGUAACACCAACACGUGUCACCUGACGUGGCCUCUGCCUUCUCUCUCUCUGAUUCUUGAGAGUGACUGUUUGCUAGAACCAAAAAAAAAGACAAUGCUGAGAACGACGAGCUAGGGUUAGGGUUUUUCUUUCGAGUUCCACGGAUUGUUUUUCUGAUAUAUAGAGUUUUAUUUUCCUUCUUGCCAUCUACUUUUAUAUUACAUGGGAAUAAGUGAAGACAUGAUAUCUCCAUAAUCUGAAAAACCAUGUCCAAAAUCAGAAAAAGCAUCUCCACCUAAACAGGACCAGACAAACAUUCAUCUCUAUCCCGACUAG